GGAAGUGUGGCUCAUCAAUAGAGCAUCUGCCUGACAAGCAUGAGGUCCUGAGUUCAAAUCCCAGUACCA
rnacentral:tRNA from 1 species